GGUAAAUCGAGAUAAGGUUUUACAUCCCCUUACGCUUUGCGAGGGUUCCUGGCCCUGGCUGGCUUGUGCUGAAACGUGAUACUGGGAGCCGUUCUCGCUCAACCCGUUUAGCUUGUUACGGCGUCCCGUCCCGCCAGGGGAGCUGGCGGAGGGACCUGCAGCUUUCUCUCCCUUCAGCUCUUUCUUCUGGCAUUUCUUAGCUCAUCUAAAUGAAAGAUUCGUGCACGCGACAAACCCUGGCGCUACCUGGUCCCAGAAGCAGGCUGAGAUGGAGAAGCAGAAAGGAAGAAGUGUGCUCCAAACACGAGGCGGCUGGGAUGGUCAGAAAGGUCGUGGUGCGCGGCCCGUCCUUUCAUCGAGCCCUUCACCUUCACCCAUGGAGGAAGCUCUUUGGCUCUUUCCACACUGGGCUUGGACCUUGCAGCUCCCGGGACCCCCAAGGUCUGUUGGCAUCAGCAUCCUGGCCGGUCCCUGAGAAGCUUCUGGUUAUCAAGUGCUUCUGGGGACUGCUGUURGCCCUCAGGGCUGCUGACUCCUCCUGCAGCACUGUCUGGAGCUAAGACCCUUGCCACCCUUUCCUGGCACCAAGUGACAAUCAGGUGUCCCUGGCCAAAAGCGUUUUAAGGAAAGCAAGCAGCCAUGGAGUAGAAGCCUUGCGAGGUAAGAWGCUUAUGCUUUUAACUGCUAAAGAGAUGGUGGCAGAGGGUAAGAAUAACURGUGGGCUCUGCAAGCAGAGGGAGGUCACCAGUCACUCUUGUAAGGYUUGUUUUGGGACCCAUCCUCUUCAACAGACUCAGAAGUGACAGAAAUAGGGACAAACAGGGAGGUGACCGCRUUUGCAGGUGGCAUGAAGUUACCAGCACAGAGAGAACAAGAGAUGACUGGAGAAUUGCAUGACACGUAAAACAACGCACACAGGAAAAACAACCRUAACCACGCAUAGCAAUGGGCUGUUCUUUCCCCUACAUGAACCAAGGCCACCAAAAGAAAKUUUUGUGAGGUUCAGGUCCAGGUUAAAAAAAAAAAGAGAGGUUAAGAAGUAAAGGAGGUGAUUCUUCACAUGGACAGGRGAUGAACUAUGGAACUCCUUGGCAAAGGACGCUGUGUAUACAAAAAAUUUACAGGAAUUCAACUGGAGACYGGACAAGUUCUUGGAAGAGAGGUCCAGAAAUAUAUAAACCACAGCAGGGCCUGGGAAAUCCCUGGAACUGAAAAGAGGUGGGAAAGUCUUCCAUACAGAUCUCUCUGGGCUCAUGUAGCCACCAACCUGUCUCCUUUCUGUGAUUAAAGCCCUUUCUGGGCUCAGGGGAGCCACCGUGGGAGCUGGAGGCUUGCCCCAUGGAUCACACCAACCCCGGGACYGAACCACCGGACACUCCUGCGCGUCGACGUGGCACCGGAGCCUGGACGAGGACCUCCAGAGCCUUCRUGCUGACCAGCCGCCAGCCCCGUGUGCUCAGAGCUCAGCUCCUGAGACAAAGCCUGCUGUAUGCCAUUACUCAUCUCCAGGCUGCCAUCAGAUAGGUCUUUAAUUCGGUUUUAAUUAAAACAAUUCCUUC
ensembl:lncRNA